UUUAGUUGUAUUGUUUCUUUUAACAAUCAUUGUAAAGGCACUCAGAGGAGCAGAUGAAUGCUUAAUUAUAAACUGAAAUAAAUAAAAUACCUUUUUUGUCAAUCUGAAUAUACUUAAGGCCCCCUUGAAGAAUAUCUAAUCUUCACACAUAUAGUAGGGACACCUGUAGACUGAUAUUCCUUCCUUUUGAUCAAUACAAUUAAAGCAGAUUUUUUUAAAAGGACAUACUGCAUGCCAUAGCUAAUAACACCUUGACAUGAUAUUCUUGGGAUUUAAUGUAACUUGCCAGUCCUUUGUAGCCUUCUGUGUCAUGCAGGAUAAAGUCUUAAUUGGGUGUAGAUUAUUCCAUAGGGUUUAUUUGGGGAUUUUCUAAAUUUUCUUAUUUCACAGGUUGUUGAAUAUGUGGGAUGAAAUACCAGGUAAAGUAUGAGGGGAAAAAAGUGAAGUCUAUUUUGUUGUCACCAGAAUCCAGUAUAUGCAUUUUUAUUGAGACAAAUCCCUGCCACUUUCAUUCUUUUCAUUCAGCACAACAAUCGGCUCCCUGGCUUAAAUUCUGAUCUCAGUUACACCAGUGUAUGUAAAUCCAGAAUAGCUCCAUUGAAGUCAAAGAAGUUACAGUACUCCUUGUUUACUUCAGUGUAACUGAGAUCAAAAUCUCUCCUACUGUCUCCAUAUCCCAUUUUCUGUGCAACCAUUCUUUGCCCAGAAAGCUCCCUGUGUUUGUCCUUCUUGGGUCUAGAUUUAUCUUUCCUCUUUCCUGUAGUUUCCUCUUUUUCCUUUUUAGCACUAUUACAACAUGCAGACGUCUGCCAGUUACUUUACCCUUGUCCACUUUCCAAACAAUGAAUGGGGAAAAAAUUAAUUUUCGUCUCAUUGUAGCUCCUAAUUGCAGAGUAGUUUGUCUUUCUUUUUUCCCUUUCCCCCCCUCCUCUGACGCACAUGCUCUAUAAUAAGCUUCUGUUCCUUGGAGCUUGUGAGCCUCUAUAGUAAGCUGAAACCGCUACUAUAUUUACACACUUUCCACAUUUAGACAAAGGCUAUUUUUAACUGGAGUUCUAUUUGCGGGGGCUGCCAACGUCACUUUAUGUUCACAUGCAUCUCGGGCAUCAUAUGCUUGUUAUUUUUAUUUACUGUGCCUGUGCCAGCUCUGCCUUUUUGAAGGGAAAAAAGAAUUGAGAGUGCUUUAGCAGGCCAGCCCUUGAAAGCUCUUUUGUAUAACAGCAGAUACACAGAUUAGGAAAGAAAGGACAACUCAGCGGUAUAUUUGGCAAACCUGUUUCUAAUAGCUGGCUUCUUUUUUCCAUGAGUCUAGUCACAAAGCUGUUUUCUUAUUACCACUGCGUUUGUUUAAGGGGAAGCUGUUUCUGAGGGCUAGCUACACCUCUGUCUGAGAGCACCUCUUCAGCUGUUAGGCCGCAUGCCUUUACCUAUCUGGAGAUGGGAUUUCACAGUUCUCUCACUUCUAGACCAGGACCUGGACUAUGGUAACCUAUGUGGCAACCAUGAUUAUCCUACAAGUCUGAAAUGAAUUGGUCAGGAGGUGUAUGAGCUGGAAGGGGAAAGGGCCAUUCUGAGAAGACAGGAUGAAAAGACAAUGAGAAUGAGAACAAGAAGAUGAACCUGAGGAAGAAGCUGAAUUCCAAAACAUAUUGCCCAGGCAGUAUUCCCUUGUGGAUUACCAUGUCCCAGUUGACAUAUGAAUGUAGAAGUGAUAUACUCUAUGGGUUGUCCAAAUUUUCAUUUGGCUCUGAUUGGAGUUCAUAAAAGAUAUGUGUGCCUUGUUUUCAGAAACAAAAGUUGCAUCCGUGCAUGGAAAUAGUUAUUUGUAUAUAUCAGAUACCACACAAACAGGUAUGACUGCAAAUUUGGAGUGCACACCAAAUGGAGGUCCACUGAAAAGCUGGACCUACAUGCCCGGUGAGUAUGGAAGUGUGUUGCAGAUGUGAAACAAAUAUAUGUUAAUAAACAGUACUUGUAGCCCAGGAUCUGAGCAUAGCUCAAAGAAUUUGAGUCAACUUCUGAGCUGAUCCAACUUAAUCUAUGUGGCUUGUGUUCAACAACCUAGUUCUUUCUAUUGUGGAGUGUGUCUGUCCUAUGAGAUAAUGAUAGUCUAUCUAAUCAUCUCACCUUGUCACCACCCCUAGAGAUUCGUAGACACUGCUGGGUUGAAACAUAGUGACUAUUAACACAUUCUUGGAGAGAUGCCUAGGCCACUUAAUGAGCUUGUGGAGGCUUUGGUGAAAAAAAAAAUCCUUCUGUUAACCUCUUCACUGCUGAAUAUAUGUACAGUCCUCUGUGUAAGGAAGUUUGUGAUUUUGUGCUGAGAUAUCCUAUAACUAUUUGCUCUUUAAGAGAUCAAAGGAAAGUUUAUAUUAUGGAGGUGAUAGUUCUGACUGCAUAGCUAAGGAUAUAUUGAAAAAUGAAGUCAAAGAAGAGAACUACCCAACUGGGUUUCUAUAAACAACAACAACAUAUAUCCUUCCCAAAUACACACCACUUAAUACAAGGGCUAGAUUUAUUUUUUUCUGAAAAUGACAAGUCAUUCCAUUGAAUAGGUUAACGGUGAGAUGCAUAUAAAAUGAUCCAUUCUUGAUUUUUUUCACUGGUUUUACAUUUCUUUGGGUCCUUCCAAUUUAAUACUAUUAAAAGUUGGAAACAUCAGACUUAACACACUUAUCAACAUUAAGUGUGCGCCAGAACCUGGCCAUUUUUCCUGCCCUUUUGCACCAUUCUGGCCCUCAGGAUUUGGCCUUAAUAAGUUAACCACUUCAAUCCCCAUAUAGAUAUAUAAGAGAUUAUAUAAGAAAGAGCAUGAACCUUAAGAAAAGAAGGGAAAAGGUAAAAAGAAUGAUCAUGUGUGUAAUUUGGAUAGAAUCCUUUAUUGCUUAAUUAAUUUUCAUUUAUCCCAAACUUCUAUAUAUUUGGGAAGAGUAUAAUUCUGGCCAUAAUUUCCUGAAAUGAUACCAGUUUUCUAAUUCAAGGAGAACAGUCCUAUAAGGUUUGAGGCAAAGGACUCCGUCAUCUUUGAAGUCAAAGUGCUACGUACACACUUCAUCAGCAGAAAUGCACUUCUAGUUAACCUUUUUCAUGUUUUGUAUUUCACUAAAAUCCUGUAAUAACAUAACAUAUAUAUUCAUGUAAUUAGUUAUCACAAUUGUUGACUUUGUGGGUGAAAUCCUUACCUCACUGAAAUCAAUGGCAAAACUGCCGUCGACUUGGGGCGGGGAGAGGGGCAGGAUUUCACUGUUUGUUUAUUGUGGACCCGACCUUACUCCCAGUGAAUUUUUGGUUUCAGAGUAACAGCCGUGUUAGUCUGUAUUCGCAAAAAGAAAAGGAGUACUUGUGGCACCUUAGAGACUAACCAAUUUAUUUGAGCAUAAGCUUUCGUGAGCUACAGCUCACUUUCACCAGAGUUUUGAUUACUUUUAACUUCUGCUUCCAAAACACACAGCAAUCUUAGAGUUGCUCAUGCCAAGCCACUGGCCAG